rnacentral:rRNA from 1 species
UACGGAGGAUCCAAGCGUUAUCCGGAAUCAUUGGGUUUAAAGGGUCCGUAGGCGGUUUUGUAAGUCAGUGGUGAAAGCCCAUCGCUCAACGGUGGAACGGCCAUUGAUACUGCAAAACUUGAAUUAUUGGGAAGUAACUAGAAUAUGUAGUGUAGCGGUGAAAUGCUUAGAUAUUACAUGGAAUACCAAUUGCGAAGGCAGGUUACUAUCAAUAUAUUGACGCUGAUGGACGAAAGCGUGGGGAGCGAACAGGA